CGCUGGGUGGCAGAGUAGUAAUGCAACGGUCUGCAAAACCGUUUUUCACCGGUUCGAAUCCGGUCCCAGCGUCCA
rnacentral:tRNA from 1 species